GAUGAACGCUGGCGGCGUGCCUAAUACAUGCAAGUCGAGCGAACAGACGAGGAGCUUGCUCCUCUGACGUUAGCGGCGGACGGGUGAGUAACACGUGGAUAACCUACCUAUAAGACUGGGAUAACUUCGGGAAACCGGAGCUAAUACCGGAUAAUAUAUUGAACCGCAUGGUUCAAUAGUGAAAGACGGUUUUGCUGUCACUUAUAGAUGGAUCCGCGCCGCAUUAGCUAGUUGGUAAGGUAACGGCUUACCAAGGCAACGAUGCGUAGCCGACCUGAGAGGGUGAUAGGCCACACUGGAACUGAGACACGGUCCAGACUCCUACGGGAGGCAGCAGUAGGGAAUCUUCCGCAGUGGGCGAAAGCCUGACGGAGCAACGCCGCGUGAGUGAUGAAGGUCUUCGGAUCGUAAAACUCUGUUAUUAGGGAAGAACAAAUGUGUAAGUAACUAUGGACGUCUUGACGGUACCUAAUCAGAAAGCCACGGCUAACUACGUG
rnacentral:rRNA from 1 species